GACGAACGCUGGCGGCGUGCUUAACACAUGCAAGUCGAACGGUAAGGCCCUUCGGGGUACACGAGUGGCGAACGGGUGAGCAACACGUGGGUGAUCUGCCCUGCACUUCGGGAUAAGCCUGGGAAACUGGGUCUAAUACCGGAUAGGACCACUGCCUGCAUGGGUGGUGGUGGAAAGCUUUUGCGGUGUGGGAUGGGCCCGCGGCCUAUCAGCUUGUGGGUGGGGGGAUGGCCUACCAAGGCGACGACGGGUAGCCGGCCUGAGAGGGGGACCGGCCACACUGGGACUGGGAUACGGCCCAGACUCCUGCGGGAGGCAGCAGUGGGGAAUAUUGCACAAUGGGCGCAAGCCUGAUGCAGCGACGCCGCGUGAGGGAUGACGGCCUUCGGGUUGUAAACCUCUUUCAGCACCGACGAAGCGCAAGUGACGGUAGGUGCAGAAGAAGGACCGGCCAACUACGUGCCAGCCGCCGCCGUAA
rnacentral:rRNA from 1 species